rnacentral:rRNA from 1 species
CCUACGGGAGGCUGCAGUGAGGAAUAUUGGUCAAUGGGCGAGAGCCUGAACCAGCCAAGUCGCGUGAGGGAAGACGGUCCUACGGAUUGUAAACCUCUUUUGUCAGGGAGCAAGGAGCGCCACGAGUGGUGCGGCGAGAGUACCUGAAGAAAAAGCAUCGGCUAACUCCGUGCCAGCAGCCGCGGUAAUACGGAGGUCCGGGCGUUAUCCGGAUUUAUUGGGUUUAAAGGGAGCGUAGGCCGCAUGUCAAGCGUGCUGUGAAAUGUCCGGGCUCAACCCGGGCCUUGCAGCGCGAACUGGCGUGCUUGAGUCCGCGGAAAGCAGGCGGAAUUCGUCGUGUAGCGGUGAAAUGCUUAGAUAUGACGAAGAACCCCGAUUGCGAAGGCAGCAUGCCGGCUCCACACUGACGCUGAGGCACGAAAGCGUGGGUAUCGAACAGGAUUAGAUACCCGAGUAGUC